CCUUCGAUAGCUCAGUUGGUAGAGCGGUGGACUGUAGAGUGGUGAGCCGAACAUCAACGCUUGCCUUUAGUAUAGGGGUGUGUGCUGAUGAUUGGUUUCAGUAAAAAAUAGUAAUCCAUAGGUCACUGGUUCAAAUCCGGUUCGAAGGA
rnacentral:tRNA from 1 species